rnacentral:lncRNA from 1 species
CUAUGGAGCUUUAAAAAAUUACGAUGUUAUCGUAAUUUUGUGAAACUUAUUGUUCAUUCAAACAUAAUGACAAGCUAGCCCUGAAAUUGUAUGUGUUUUUGUCUUUUUGGUUUUUUGUCCCAUUUAUUUGAUGUUACAAAAUUUGUGAUUUAAUUUUAUUCUUGUUCUUCAAGAAGUUAAUAAUAAGAUAUGCUUGUUUGUCUAUU